GAUGAAUGCUACAAGACAAGCAACAUGUGCAUUAUACCUCUUUUUUUUUUUUCUUUUUUUUUUUUAGGGGAACAUGUGCACUAUACCUAAUUAACAAACAUAAUUCAUAAUUUUGAAAAAAAAAAAGGUUUAGUAUUCUUUUUCUCUAACAAUUUCCCCCAAUUUCAUCAUCAGUUCCAAUUAUUAAUGUUUAAUAACAUCAAUUUCCAAUUUGAAAAUUUGAUACUCUCUCCGUGUUUUUUCUACGUGAUACACUUUUCAUUUUCAGCCGUGUGUUUUAAGUGAUACACUUCCAUUUUAGGAAAUAUUUUAUAAUAUAAUAAUGUAAACUGAUCCCCACUCCCACAUAAAAAAUUAUUUCACUCUCCUGCAGUGGUCCCCAUGUAAAUAAUAUUUUAAUGCUACCGUUAUUUUAGCUCUGAUAUUUUCGAACUCACCCUUAUUUUCCCUCUCUUCAUAUCUUGAAGCUUGGACUCAAAUCUGUAUAACCCUUACUCCUCAAUUCAAUGCUAAUUUCCUUCAAUUGUUGUUGUAGUUCGGCCGUCAAUUACUUUCCACACCUUUUCAAAACCCAGUAAAAAUAGUUACAGAAAAUUUGGGUUCAUUUUGUUUGCUCGAAUUUGGGGGUUUUAACAAGCAGUAAAUCCAGAUCUAACAGGGGCAAUGCAGAGACCGGUGGUUAUCUACGCUGUAUAUUAGUGAGUCGCUUUGAAUUGACGAAGUGGUUGGUACGUAGCAACGAUGAAUUGUUGAGGUUUCUCUGUAAACCCCUAUUUGAUGCUUAAGACGAAACCCUAAACCGAGUUGGGGCUUUUUCAAGCAAUUGGUGUAGUUCAAAGCUUCUGCAUUGUUGGGUUAAUGGUAUAAUGGAAUCGAUGCAAGGUGGUUCAUUGUCGGAAAGUGAUGAUGGUGAAUUUAUCCCAAACACCCCGUCGUUUUCUCCUCCUCGCGUAUUUCUAUGGAAAAUCAAUUAAGUAAUUAUCGGCUAAUGCUCUGUUGUAUGAAAAUAUUGGUUUUAUGUGAAUGAAUAAUGAAAAUAUGGCCUUCCUCAAUGAUGCAUGAUUACCUGUAUUGUAUUUCAA